AGCUUUGCGCAGUGGCAGUAUCGUAGCCAAUGAGGUUUAUCUGAGGUGCGAUUAUUGCUAAUUGAAAACUUUUCCCAAUACCCCGCCAUGACGGCUUGAAAUAUAGUCGUCGGCACUGGCGUUUUUUAACAGUCUCUGUGGAGA